rnacentral:rRNA from 1 species
AUUGAACGCUGGCGGCAUGCCUUACACAUGCAAGUCGAACGGCAGCGCGGGGCAACCUGGCGGCGAGUGGCGAACGGGUGAGUAACAUAUCGGAACAUACCCUAGAGUGGGGGAUAACGUAGCGAAAGUUACGCUAAUACCGCAUACGCACUAAGGUGGAAAGUGGGGGAUUCGCAAGAACCUCAUGCUCAUGGAGUGGCCGAUAUCUGAUUAGCUAGUUGGUGAGGUAAAGGCUCACCAAGGCGACGAUCAGUAGCUGGUUUGAGAGAACGACCAGCCACACUGGAACUGAGACACGGUCCAGACUCCUACGGGAGGCAGCAGUGGGGAAUUUUGGACAAUGGGGGCAACCCUGAUCCAGCAAUGCCGCGUGAGUGAAGAAGGCCUUCGGGUUGUAAGCUCUUUGUCCUAGGGAAGAUGAUGACUGUACCU